ACUCAACAUUAUAUCUUUAAAAAGGAUAAGUCUAUUGUGUUAAAGCGAGCUGUAAUUUUAUACAGAUACUUGAUCACAAUGUUAGUCCUAAAACAUGUUUUUUGGAGUUU
rnacentral:sRNA from 1 species